rnacentral:lncRNA from 1 species
AGUGGUGAUUUAUCCAGCGGCUUUCAAAGUGCAAUUUCUGGACUAGCAGCAUCAUUUGAGAUUCCUUAGAACCUCACAUUCUUCCCAAGCCCCCUGAAUUGGAAAUUCUGGGGCUGGACCACUGCAACCUGCAGUUUCACCAGGCUUCGAGGUAGACCUGAUGUUCAGAAACCAUAAACAAGGUCUUCGGGCUCUUCACAAACCAUCCCUAUCCUCCUGUUUGACCUGACAUCGCUCUUGAAAGCCCUCAAAGAACAGCCUCAAAGGGAAGCAGUUGAUUGAGAAUAAUGGUUCUGUUUUGGAGGUUGAUGGAAGAUGCCCUUUGGCCAGGAAAACAGCUCAUGCUUUUAGAGGAGGAUAAUUGCCAGAAGGCCUCUCUGAAUAAAAAAAAAUCCUGACCUCACAGCCUUUGCGCUUACUUGGGUUAGAAUGCCACAGUGAACAUUGCCCCUUGUCAUCACGUAGAGGUGCUCACAGGUAAAGCAACACAAGGAGCAUAUAGGAUCACCUGCUGGAUCUUGUUUUUAACACCAGGGAGGAAAAUGGUGUCUUGGGUAAUGAACAUGCCUCAAGACUGAGCUGGCCAUCUUCAGUGUCAUCCAAACCCUCAGUGGCCCCUGAAAAACCCUUUGAAAAGAUUCAGCACGUUGCCAUGGAGAACAUCCCACUGAAGGAAUGUAUAGAAGUAGCAGGUGUCAGCUGCCUACCAGUUGCUUUCAUCUCUAGAAAUCUGUGACUUGCAGUAUGACAAGAACAAAAGGUGACAAUACAAAGGACAAAGGGCAAGGAAUACAGACGGAGAAGCCGCUUAGAGUCUAGGAUGGCAGAGGUUCUCUUGAUCAUUUCAUUUUUGAGCGCUUGUAGAGCUUUGGUGUACCAGAGGUGCUUGAACAGCUUACCACACCACAGAUGAAUGGCCUUUGGAUUUCUCCUAAGAAAAUGUGGCUACCUGAAAUUCAACUCCAUUUUCUGGUCUUCAAUAUUUCUUUUGUGUUCAGUUUGCCAGCUGAGGAGAAGUGGCUAAGCAUAGCCUGUUACUGAUGCUAAAGCCCAAGUUCUGAACCUAACAACUCCAGCAACAUGAUCCUGUUUCAAGAGACAAAAAAGUGACUAAUGAAAGAAAACAAUUGAUGUGCUAUGUAGAGUUUAAAAGAAGGUAAAGAGAAUAAAUUAAAAGCAACAA